rfam:Brassica napus, WGS project CCCW01000000 data, contig: 1207
UUCCUGCGGUGAUGAUUUUAUGAAAUAUUCACAUGUCAGACUUCAGAGAUUCUUGACGAAUCAGUGAGAAUGUAUUCACAUUUCUGUGCAGAAG